UUAAGCGACUAAGCGUACACGGUGGAUGCCCUGGCAGUCAGAGGCGAUGAAGGACGUGCUAAUCUGCGAAAAGCGUCGGUAAGGUGAUAUGAACCGUUAUAACCGGCGAUGUCCGAAUGGGGAAACCCAGUGCAAUUCGUUGCACUAUCGUUUGAUGAAUACAUAGUCAAACGAGGCGAACCGGGGGAACUGAAACAUCUAAGUACCCCGAGGAAAAGAAAUCAACCGAGAUUCCCCCAGUAGCGGCGAGCGAACGGGGAGCAGCCCAGAGUCUGAAUCAGCUUGUGUGUUAGUGGAAGCGUCUGGAAAGUCGCAGGGUACAGGGUGAUACUCCCGUACACUAAAACACACAGGUUGUGAACUCGAAGAGUAGGGCGGGACACGUGGUAUCCUGUCUGAAUAUGGGGGGACCAUCCUCCAAGGCUAAAUACUCCUGACUGACCGAUAGUGAACCAGUACCGUGAGGGAAAGGCGAAAAGAACCCCGGCGAGGGGAGUGAAAAAGAACCUGAAACCGUGUACGUACAAGCAGUGGGAGCCUCUUUAUGGGGUGACUGCGUACCUUUUGUAUAAUGGGUCAGCGACUUAUAUUCUGUAGCAAGGUUAACCGAAUAGGGGAGCCGAAGGGAAACCGAGUCUUAACUGGGCGUUAAGUUGCAGGGUAUAGACCCGAAACCCGGUGAUCUAGCCAUGGGCAGGUUGAAGGUUGGGUAACACUAACUGGAGGACCGAACCGACUAAUGUUGAAAAAUUAGCGGAUGACUUGUGGCUGGGGGUGAAAGGCCAAUCAAACCGGGAGAUAGCUGGUUCUCCCCGAAAGCUAUUUAGGUAGCGCCUCGUGAACUCAUCUUCGGGGGUAGAGCACUGUUUCGGCUAGGGGGUCAUCCCGACUUACCAACCCGAUGCAAACUGCGAAUACCGAAGAAUGUUAUCACGGGAGACACACGGCGGGUGCUAACGUCCGUCGUGAAGAGGGAAACAACCCAGACCGCCAGCUAAGGUCCCAAAGUCAUGGUUAAGUGGGAAACGAUGUGGGAAGGCACAGACAGCCAGGAUGUUGGCUUAGAAGCAGCCAUCAUUUAAAGAAAGCGUAAUAGCUCACUGGUCGAGUCGGCCUGCGCGGAAGAUGUAACGGGGCUAAACCAUGCACCGAAGCUGCGGCAGCGACACUAUGUGUUGUUGGGUAGGGGAGCGUUCUGUAAGCCGUUGAAGGUGGCCUGUGAGGGUUGCUGGAGGUAUCAGAAGUGCGAAUGCUGACAUAAGUAACGAUAAUGCGGGUGAAAAACCCGCACGCCGGAAGACCAAGGGUUCCUGUCCAACGUUAAUCGGGGCAGGGUGAGUCGACCCCUAAGGCGAGGCCGAAAGGCGUAGUCGAUGGGAAACAGGUUAAUAUUCCUGUACUUGGUGUUACUGCGAAGGGGGGACGGAGAAGGCUAUGUUAGCCGGGCGACGGUUGUCCCGGUUUAAGCAUGUAGGCGGAGAUUCCAGGUAAAUCCGGAGUCUUGUUAACGCUGAGGUGUGAUGACGAGGCACUACGGUGCUGAAGUAACAAAUGCCCUGCUUCCAGGAAAAGCCUCUAAGCAUCAGGUAACACAAAAUCGUACCCCAAACCGACACAGGUGGUCAGGUAGAGAAUACCAAGGCGCUUGAGAGAACUCGGGUGAAGGAACUAGGCAAAAUGGUGCCGUAACUUCGGGAGAAGGCACGCUGAUAUGUAGGUGAAGUGAUUUACUCAUGGAGCUGAAAUCAGUCGAAGAUACCAGCUGGCUGCAACUGUUUAUUAAAAACACAGCACUGUGCAAACACGAAAGUGGACGUAUACGGUGUGACGCCUGCCCGGUGCCGGAAGGUUAAUUGAUGGGGUUAUCCGUAAGGAGAAGCUCUUGAUCGAAGCCCCGGUAAACGGCGGCCGUAACUAUAACGGUCCUAAGGUAGCGAAAUUCCUUGUCGGGU
rnacentral:rRNA from 1 species